rnacentral:rRNA from 1 species
CCAGACUYCUACGGRAGSMAGCMGUAGGGAAUCUUMCGCAAUGGACGAAAGUCUGACGGAGCAACGCCGCGUGAGUGAUGAAGGUUUUCGGAUCGUAAAGCUCUGUUGUUAGGGAAGAACAAGUGCCGUUCAAAUAGGGCGGCACCUUGACGGUACCUAACCAGAAAGCCACGGCUAACUACGUGCCAGCAGCCGCGGUAAUACGUAGGUGGCAAGCGUUGUCCGGAAUUAUUGGGCGUAAAGGGCUCGCAGGCGGUUUCUUAAGUCUGAUGUGAAAGCCCCCGGCUCAACCGGGGAGGGUCAUUGGAAACUGGGGAACUUGAGUGCAGAAGAGGAGAGUGGAAUUCCACGUGUAGCGGUGAAAUGCGUAGAGAUGUGGAGGAACACCAGUGGCGAAGGCGACUCUCUGGUCUGUAACUGACGCUGAGGAGCGAAAGCGUGGGGAGCGAACAGGAUUAGAUACCCUGGUAGUCCACGCCGUAAACGAUGAGUGCUAAGUGUUAGGGGGUUUCCGCCCCUUAGUGCUGCAGCUAACGCAUUAAGCACUCCGCCUGGGGAGUACGGUCGCAAGACUGAAACUCAAAGGAAUUGACGGGGGCCCGCACAAGCGGUGGAGCAUGUGGUUUAAUUCGAAGCAACGCGAAGAACCUUACCAGGUCUUGACAUCCUCUGACAAUCCUAGAGAUAGGACGUCCCCUUCGGGGGCAGAGUGACAGGUGGUGCAUGGUUGUCGUCAGCUCGUGUCGUGAGAUGUUGGGUUAAGUCCCGCAACGAGCGCAACCCWUGAUCUUAGUUGCCAGCAUUCAGUUGGKCACUCUAAGGUGACUKSCGGUGACAAMCCGSAGRAAGGGUGGGGAUGAC